GAUGAACGCUGGCGGCGUGCCUAAUACAUGCAAGUCGAGCGAACAGAUAAGGAGCUUGCUCCUUUGACGUUAGCGGCGGACGGGUGAGUAACACGUGGGUAACCUACCUAUAAGACUGGAAUAACUCCGGGAAACCGGGGCUAAUGCCGGAUAACAUUUAGAACCGCAUGGUUCUAAAGUGAAAGAUGGUUUUGCUAUCACUUAUAGAUGGACCCGCGCCGUAUUAGCUAGUUGGUAAGGUAACGGCUUACCAAGGCAACGAUACGUAGCCGACCUGAGAGGGUGAUCGGCCACACUGGAGCUGAGACACGGUCCAGACUCCUACGGGAGGCAGCAGUAGGGAAUCUUCCGCAAUGGGCGAAAGCCUGACGGAGCAACGCCGCGUGAGUGAUGAAGGUCUUCGGAUCGUAAAACUCUGUUAUUAGGGAAGAACAAAUGUGUAAGUAACUGUGCACGUCUUGACGGUACCUAAUCAGAAAGCCACGGCUAACUACGUG
rnacentral:rRNA from 1 species